rnacentral:rRNA from 1 species
UAAAGUUCUUUUAUUGAAAAAGAAAAAAUAGUGGAAAAACUAUCUUGACAUUAUUCAAUGAAUAAGCCCCGGCUAAUUAUGUGCCAGCAGCCGCGGUAAUACAUAAGGGGCGAGCGUUAUCCGGAAUUAUUGGGCGUAAAGGGUGCGUAGGCGGUUUGAUAAGUCUAUAGUUUAAAUGCAGUGCUUAACGCUGUAGCGCUAUAGAAACUGUCUGACUAGAGUUAGAUAGAGGCAAGCGGAAUUCCAUGUGUAGCGGUAAAAUGCGUAAAUAUAUGGAGGAACACCAGAGGCGUAGGCGGCUUGCUGGGUCUUAACUGACGCUGAGGCACGAAAGCGUGGGGAGCAAACAGGAUUAGAUACCCUGGUAGUCCACGCCGUAAACGAUGAGUACUAAGUGUCGGGUUUCGACUCGGUACUGAAGUUAACACAUUAAGUACUCCGCCUGAGUAGUACGUACGCAAGUAUGAAACUUAAAGGAAUUGACGGGACCCCGCACAAGCGGUGGAUCAUGUUGUUUAAUUCGAAGAUACACGAAAAACCUUACCAGGUCUUGACAUAAUUUUGCGACAUUAUAGAAAUAUAAUGAAGGUUAUCAGAAUUACAGGUGGUGCAUGGUUGUCGUCAGCUCGUGUCGUGAGAUGUUAGGUUAAGUCCUAAAACGAGCGCAACCCUUGUCGUUAGUUGCGACCACGUAAUGGUGAGCACUUUAGCGAGANUGCCAAUGAAAAAUUGGAGGAAGGUGAGGAUUACGUCAAAUCAUCA